rnacentral:rRNA from 1 species
AUUGAACGCUGGCGGCAGGCCUAACACAUGCAAGUCGAACGAGUGGCGGACGGUUGGUUAUGUUUGGGAAAAUGCCUGGUGGAGGGGGAUAAACAACGGAAACGGGAGCUAAUACCGCAUACCAUCAGAUUGGCCCCAAUUGGAUUAGCUCGUGGGUGGGGUAAUGGCUAACCUUGGGGGCGAUCCCUAGCUGGUCUGAGAGGACGACCAGCCACACUGGAACGGAGACACGGUCCAGACUCCUACGGGAGGCAGCAGUGGGGAAUAUUGCACAAUGGGCGCAAGCCUGAUGCAGCCAUGCCGCGUGUGUGAAGAAGGCCUUCGGGUUGUAAAGCACUUUCAGCGAGGAGGCGUUACUCGCAGAAGAAGCACCGGCUAACUCCGUGCCAGCAGCCGCGGUAAUUC